rnacentral:rRNA from 1 species
UACGGAGGGGACUAGCGUUGUUCGGAAUUACUGGGCGUAAAGCGCGCGUAGGCGGAUUUGCAAGUCGGGGGUGAAAUCCCGAGGCUCAACCUCGGAACUGCCUUCGAUACUGCAAAUCUCGAGUCCGGAAGAGGUGAGUGGAAUUCCUAGUGUAGAGGUGAAAUUCGUAGAUAUUAGGAAGAACACCAGUGGCGAAGGCGGCUCACUGGUCCGGUACUGACGCUGAGGUGCGAAAGCGUGGGGAGCAAACAGG